AGCGAAACGGGAAGAGCCCAAACCAACAAGCUUGCUUGUUGGGGUUGUAGGACACUCUAUACGGAGUUACAAAGGACGACAUUAGACGAAUCAUCUGGAAAGAUGAAUCAAAGAAGGUAAUAAUCCUGUAGUCGAAAAUGUUGUCUCUCUUGAGUGGAUCCUGAGUACGACGGAGCACGUGAAAUUCCGUCGGAAUCUGGGAGGACCAUCUCCUAAGGCUAAAUACUCUCUAGUGACCGAUAGUGAACCAGUACCGUGAGGGAAAGGUGAAAAGCACCCCGGAAGGGGAGUGAAAUAGAACCUGAAACCGUGUGCUUACAAGUAGUCAGAGCCCGUUAAUGGGUGAUGGCGUGCCUUUUGUAGAAUGAACCGGCGAGUUACGAUUUGAUGCAAGGUUAAGCAGUAAAUGUGGAGCCGUAGCGAAAGCGAGUCUGAAUAGGGCGUUUAGUAUUUGGUCGUAGACCCGAAACCAGGUGAUCUACCCUUGGUCAGGUUGAAGUUCAGGUAACACUGAAUGGAGGACCGAACCGACUUACGUUGAAAAGUGAGCGGAUGAACUGAGGGUAGCGGAGAAAUUCCAAUCGAACCUGGAGAUAGCUGGUUCUCUCCGAAAUAGCUUUAGGGCUAGCCUCAAGUGAUGAUUAUUGGAGGUAGAGCACUGUUUGGACGAGGGGCCCCUCUCGGGUUACCGAAUUCAGACAAACUCCGAAUGCCAAUUAAUUUAACUUGGGAGUCAGAACAUGGGUGAUAAGGUCCGUGUUCGAAAGGGAAACAGCCCAGACCACCAGCUAAGGUCCCAAAAUAUAUGUUAAGUGGAAAAGGAUGUGGCGUUGCCCAGACAACUAGGAUGUUGGCUUAGAAGCAGCCAUCAUUUAAAGAGUGCGUAAUAGCUCACUAGUCGAGUGACACUGCGCCGAAAAUGUACCGGGGCUAAACAUAUUACCGAAGCUGUGGAUUGUCCUUUGGACAAUGGUAGGAGAGCGUUCUAAGGGCGUUGAAGCAUGAUCGUAAGGACAUGUGGAGCGCUUAGAAGUGAGAAUGCCGGUGUGAGUAGCGAAAGACGGGUGAGAAUCCCGUCCACCGAUUGACUAAGGUUUCCAGAGGAAGGCUCGUCCGCUCUGGGUUAGUCGGGUCCUAAGCUGAGGCCGACAGGCGUAGGCGAUGGAUAACAGGUUGAUAUUCCUGUACCACCUAUAAUCGUUUUAAUCGAUGGGGGGACGCAGUAGGAUAGGCGAAGCGUGCGAUUGGAUUGCACGUCUAAGCAGUAAGGCUGAGUAUUAGGCAAAUCCGGUACUCGUUAAGGCUGAGCUGUGAUGGGGAGAAGACAUUGUGUCUUCGAGUCGUUGAUUUCACACUGCCGAGAAAAGCCUCUAGAUAGAAAAUAGGUGCCCGUACCGCAAACCGACACAGGUAGUCAAGAUGAGAAUUCUAAGGUGAGCGAGCGAACUCUCGUUAAGGAACUCGGCAAAAUGACCCCGUAACUUCGGGAGAAGGGGUGCUCUUUAGGGUUAACGCCCAGAAGAGCCGCAGUGAAUAGGCCCAAGCGACUGUUUAUCAAAAACACAGGUCUCUGCUAAACCGUAAGGUGAUGUAUAGGGGCUGACGCCUGCCCGGUGCUGGAAGGUUAAGAGGAGUGGUUAGCUUCUGCGAAGCUACGAAUCGAAGCCCCAGUAAACGGCGGCCGUAACUAUAACGGUCCUAAGGUAGCGAAAUUCCUUGUCGGGUAAGUUCCGACCCGCACGAAAGGCGUAACGAUUUGGGCACUGUCUCAACGAGAGACUCGGUGAAAUCAUAGUACCUGUGAAGAUGCAGGUUACCCGCGACAGGACGGAAAGACCCCGUGGAGCUUUACUGUAGCCUGAUAUUGAAAUUCGGCACAGCUUGUACAGGAUAGGUAGGAGCCUUUGAAACGUGAGCGCUAGCUUACGUGGAGGCGCUGGUGGGAUACUACCCUAGCUGUGUUGGCUUUCUAACCCGCACCACUUAUCGUGGUGGGAGACAGUGUCAGGCGGGCAGUUUGACUGGGGCGGUCGCCUCCUAAAAGGUAACGGAGGCGCUCAAAGGUUCCCUCAGAAUGGUUGGAAAUCAUUCAUAGAGUGUAAAGGCAUAAGGGAGCUUGACUGCGAGACCUACAAGUCGAGCAGGGUCGAAAGACGGACUUAGUGAUCCGGUGGUUCCGCAUGGAAGGGCCAUCGCUCAACGGAUAAAAGCUACCCCGGGGAUAACAGGCUUAUCUCCCCCAAGAGUUCACAUCGACGGGGAGGUUUGGCACCUCGAUGUCGGCUCAUCGCAUCCUGGGGCUGUAGUCGGUCCCAAGGGUUGGGCUGUUCGCCCAUUAAAGCGGUACGCGAGCUGGGUUCAGAACGUCGUGAGACAGUUCGGUCCCUAUCCGUCGUGGGCGUAGGAAAUUUGAGAGGAGCUGUCCUUAGUACGAGAGGACCGGGAUGGACAUACCUCUGGUGUACCAGUUGUCGUGCCAACGGCAUAGCUGGGUAGCUAUGUGUGGACGGGAUAAGUGCUGAAAGCAUCUAAGCAUGAAGCCCCCCUCAAGAUGAGAUUUCCCAACUUCGGUUAUAAGAUCCCUCAAAGAUGAUGAGGUUAAUAGGUUCGAGGUGGAAGCAUGGUGACAUGUGGAGCUGACGAAUACUAAUCGAUCGAAGACUUAAUCAA
rnacentral:rRNA from 1 species